GUGGGGGAUAUUGCACAAUGGGGGAAACCCUGAUGCAGCGACGCCGCGUGAGUGAUGACGGUCUUCGGAUUGUAAAGCUCUGUUGACGGGGACGAUAAUGACGGUACCCGUUUAGAAAGCCACGGCUAACUACGUGCCAGCAGCCGCGGUAAUACGUAGGUGGCGAGCGUUGUCCGGAAUUACUGGGUGUAAAGGGAGCGCAGGCGGGGAGCCAAGUUGGAUGUGAAAUACCGCAGCUCAACUGCGGGGCUGCAUCCAAAACUGGUUCUCUUGAGUGAAGUAGAGGUAGGCGGAAUUCCUAGUGUAGCGGUGAAAUGCGUAGAUAUUAGGAGGAACACCAGUGGCGAAGGCGGCCUACUGGGCUUUAACUGACGCUGAGGCUCGAAAGCGUGGGGAGCAAACAGGAUUAGAAACCCUAGUAGUCC
rnacentral:rRNA from 1 species